CACAAAUAGGUAUAUUAUUAGCUGCUGCCUGGUUCCGAUGAACAUGAGCAUGUUUGUGAGAAAUAUGGUAUUGGGCAGUGGCCAGACAACCAUAGAGAUGGAAUCCACAAAUGUUGAGUUUUCUUGUCUCACACUUCUACUAAUUCCAUCUCACAUUU